GGAAGGAUCAUUAACAAAUUCCACAAACACUCGUCUUUGCCGUUGGGGCUCUCGAGCCGCCGACUGGUAUAUGACACUUUCACACACAUUAUCAUUUGACAAUCAAAGGAGAACCUAAAUUGAUCGUUUAAACAACUUUUAACAAUGGAUCUCUUGGCUCUUGCAACGAUGAAGAACGCAGCGAACUGCGAAACGUAAUGUGACCUGCACUCUUCGUGAAUCAUCCAAUCUUUGAACGCACUUUGCACUUCGUGGCUUUUGUCACGAAGUAUACUUGUUUGAGUAUCCGUAACCAUCUCACCCCUCCCUUCGGGGCGGCGGUGGACGCUGAGAUUCAAGUAACCACUUGAUGGUGACUUGUCUCUUAAAAGGUAUGGCCCUUCCGUGGAAGGUCUCCGCUAGGACCUGACAGACCAUUGGGAUAACGUCCUACAAUUGUCUCGUCAGUUCCAACCCUGGCUAACUAAGCUGGCGUCUAAGCGUUGACCGACCUUGGCCACCAGGAUCAGGCAGGAAGCCGACGGCUGACCUGUGAGAUCACUAUGCAUGCUCGCAUGUAUGACAUCUGGAUCUCAAAUCAAGUAAGGAUACCCGCUGAACUUAAGCAUAUCAGUAAGCGGAGGAAAAGAAACUAACAAGGAUUCCCCUAGUAGCGGCGAGCGAAGCGGGAACAGCUCAAAUUUAAAAUCUGGCAUCCGGAUGGGUGUCCGAAUUGUAAUUGAGAGGGUCUCCUUUUGGCGAUCCGGGAUGGUCAAAGUUCUCUGGAAAGGGACAACAAAGAGGGUGACAUUCCCGUCUGGAUCAUCACGGACCGUCAGGAUAAAGAGGGCUCCAAGAGUCGGAUUGUUUGGGAAUGCAGUCCAAAAUGGGUGGUACAUUUCAUCUAAAGCUAAAUAAUGGCAAGAGACCGAUAGCGAACAAGUACCGUGAGGGAAAGAUGAAAAGAACUUUGAAAAGAGAGUUAAAUAGUACGUGAAAUUGUUAAAAGGGAAACGAUUGAGACCAGUGAUGUCCGGGUCCUUGAGCUUGCCCCCUGGGGCCUGCGUCUGGGCCCGGACAAGUCGACGCUCCUUCCGAGGGGUGGAUAAGACUGGCGGAAAGGUGGCUCCAUCUUCGGGUGGCUGCUUUAUAGUCCGCCAGGGAUACAUCCCCCAGGAGGAGACAGGAAGGGCCGCAAGGCUCACGUCGACGAAAUGGUCUUAAACGACCCGUCUUGAAACACGGACCAAGGAGUCUAACAACUAUGCGAGUAUUUGAGUGGCAAACUCGAAUGCGUAAAGAAACUGAACGCGUGGGAUCGGUUGUCCUACGGGACGAUCGUGCACCAUGGGCCGGUCCUUGUCUUUGACUUGGAUUGCGCUAGAGCAUAUCUGUUGGGACCCGAAAGAUGGUGAACUAUGCCUGAAUAGGGUGAAGCCAGGGGAAACUCUGGUGGAGGCUCGUAGACAUUCUGACGUGCAAAUCGAUGUUCAAAUUUGGGUAUAGGGGCGAAAGACUAAUCGAACCAUCUAGUAGCUGGUUCCCUC
rnacentral:misc_RNA from 1 species